AGACACAAAAACUAAGUCGACACUUGUGACGUCAGAAAACAGCUGCUCUGAGGGUGUACAAAUUCUACGUUGCCAUCUUUUAUACUAGAACCUAUUUGAGAAAACUUAAGAAUCAAGAACCUUGCCUUUAUUAUUAAGUUUCUAAUCUUACAAGUUUAAAAAUUACAUUUAAACUGAAAUACUUUGACCCAGCAAGACUGUGGCGUCGCGUAUUUUUAAAUUUAUACCGUUAAUUCUGUAGAUUUUGAGCUUUUUUAUCGUCUUUGUAAUGAUAGUACAAUUAAAUUUACAUUUCAGAGGUUAUGAAUGUUGCGCAUUUUCUGAUUUUUGAUUGAUUGAUUUCUGAAAAAUCAGCUGCUAACAGCUUAUUACCGCAGAAAAAGAGCUGAUUGCUCGUGAGAACAGCUGAUGAUCAUGGAGGACGGAGUCGCGUACAUGAUGAUGGGGGACGGAGAUGAUGGUACACCUACCCAGCUGGUUGCACUGCAAAGUGAAGAUGGGACACAGCAGCUUGCUGUCCCAGUUAUAGACCCACACACAGGACAGGAGACUUAUAUGAUCCUGGAUCAGAAUGCUUUGGAGGGAGAGGACGGACAACAGCUCCUGAUAGUUGGUGGAGAGGGAGAUGGAGUAGUUGAUGGAGAACAUGGUGUACACGACCAAUUCGGAGAGGAGGAGGGGUAUACUCUAGGAGCAGAUCAGGAUGGGGGAGUUCUUAUGAUACCUAGCUCACUGGCAAGUUCCAUGUCUGGACAGAACGUUGUUUAUGUAUCUGGAGAAGGUCUCCAUCAGGUUCCAGUUUCACAAUCCUUGCAGGGUAGUGGAGGGUUGGCAGUCCCCAUGAAGGAAGGAGGAAUGAUUCACAUGGUUGGAGUUAAAUCUGAUAAUUAUAGAUCUCAGAGUGUUGAGACCCCUAAAGUACCUGUAAACAGACAACCUCGAAAACAAAACCUAGCAGCAAACUCAGAUUAUUCGCAGGAUUAUAGACCUCCAAGUGGACUUACAGGAGACAUUAUCAAGGAUACAGUAUUGGUAGAUGAAUGUGUGGAAAUGCUAUGCAGAAGAAUGACACUUUCCAAUAAUCAGAAGGAAGAUCUACGGUUGAGUUUAAUGACCCAUGGACUCGAUUUUGCAGACACUUAUCUUAUGAAGGAACGUAAGCGAGGACAUGGUCGGGGUGGAGCCGCAAGAAAAGAAAAGUAUACUCAUAGAGGAAGAGGAAGGGGCAGACCAAAAAAAUCUUCAAAACCUAGAGUAAUUAGAUGCGAUCAAUGUCAACUUGAAUUUCCCGCAAAUACACUAGAAUCUACGCUCAUACAGCAUGUAGAGAGAUUUCACAUGGUGAAAACACCAGGUUCUCAUUCCUCCAUGAAUGAUCUAGACCCAGAUAUGCCGAGUGGACCUCCGUGCUAUAAAUGCAGUGACUGUAGUACAACCUUUCAACAAAUUAAACCCUUGUUGGAGCACCAGAAAAUAGUACACAGUAAAAACGUGGAUAAGAUACCUGAAUCUCCUGGUAAAGAAGGGGAAUCUCCUGGUAAGAAUGAAGUUGAAAAAAAUCCCUCCUCGCCUCCUCCCUCCAGCUGCUCCUCACCGAACAAACAGAAGGUUGAGGUGAUUAAGAAGCUGGCCGAUGAAUGGGAUGACGAGGAGGAUGGUGAUGAAUUGGGAGAGGAGACGUUAAGAGAGGAAAUACCGCGUGAAAUUCUGGACCAGAAAUCCGCCAAACUACCUGGACCAGAAUCCUCCAACUCCUCGGAACGGUUACCUACAAAAGCCUCUACAGCUCUGAAUGGAGCGAGGCCGGGCAGUGAGAUGAGUGAGACAAUUGAGGAUAUUACGAAGGAGGUUGAAGGAAUUCAGUCUGAGUUGCGGCAGGGAAAAGACGAGUUAAGGACGAAAGAGGAAUUGGAAAUGGACAAGAAAGACGAAAGGUUAGCGCCGGCCAAAGACGAAGAUGACGAAGACAAAAUUGUCGCAGACGUCGACGACAUUCUUAGUGACACUGAUCGACUCAUAAAGAACGAUUUACCCCGUCUUCUCUCCGGAAAACGGAAACCAACGGAACCCCUCCUUGAGUCUCCGCGGAAAAUCCCCCGAAAAUCGGAGUUAAAAUCCCCCAAAUCAGAUCUUCUGCGGACUCCGGAGACUAAGAUUCUAGAUCCCAUUGUUCAAGUAAAACCUUCAGUGCAGUGUGAGGAGUGUUAUGAGUGCUUUGAAGAUGAUGAAAAGCUUGCCUGGCAUAAUCUUAAUGAUCAUUAAUUUAAAAAGAUCAUUGUUAAAAAAACAUUAGACCUUCUCUUUCGUUUUGUGCAACGUAGGGUUUCAGUUGAUUGUGAAAAUAUUGAGUGGAGAAUUAAGAAUCGUCUCUUAAUAAAAAAAGUAUAUUUGGUGCCAUUGCGAGCAUGUUUUUUAGAAAAAGUUGCAUUUUCUAUAAAUUAUAUUUAAAUUACAUGACGUACAUAUUCAAAAACUUACUUAAAAUGUACCGCAGAACCUAUACGCCAAUGUAAAUACGAAAAAAUAUGGUUAUGUUUAUGUCUCUUAAUUAUAAUCCUUAUCACCUUAAAUAUGUUUUUGACUUUUGAAAGUCUGCAAAACUUCACCGUCGUAAAAGGUGUGCUUCAGAAUUUUAAUCAAUUGUAAAAGUCAACAAUCGAUCAGAAACCCAAUCUAAACUCAGAAGCACUCCUUUAAUAUGAAAAUACCUUUUCUUUUUCGUUUUGUUUUGCAUGUGAUGUAUACCAAGGUUGGUUAUUAAAGUUGGAUACUCUGGAUGCGCUCCAAGAGUAUCCAAACUUUGGUGUAUACUGCACAUUAAAAAAGGAUCCAGAAAAGAGAAUUGCGCAUUUUCCAUGGCUCUUCCUAUAUACUCGCUCUUUUCAACCCACUCAUAGUAUUGUUUAGUUUGUCUUGGAAAAUAUUAAAAAUAGAAAAAUAAAAGUUUAUCUUGAGUCCUUAAA
rnacentral:misc_RNA from 1 species